rnacentral:rRNA from 1 species
GAUGAACGCUGGCGGCGUGCCUAAUACAUGCAAGUCGAGCGAACAGACGAGGAGCUUGCUCCUCUGACGUUAGCGGCGGACGGGUGAGUAACACGUGGAUAACCUACCUAUAAGACUGGGAUAACUUCGGGAAACCGGAGCUAAUACCGGAUAAUAUAUUAAACCGAAUGGUUCAAUAGGGAAAGACGGUUUUGCUGUCCCUUAUAAUUGGAUCCGCGCCGCAUUAGCUAGUUGGUAAGGUAACGGCUUACCAAGGCGACGAUGCGUAGCCGACCUGAGAGGGUGAUCGGCCACACUGGAACUGAGACACGGUCCAGACUCCUACGGGAGGCAGCAGUAGGGAAUCUUCCGCAAUGGGCGAAAGCCUGACGGAGCAACGCCGCGUGAGUGAUGAAGGUCUUCGGAUCGUAAAACUCUGUUAUUAGGGAAGAACAAAUGUGUAAGUAACUAUGCACGUCUUGACGGUACCUAAUCAGAAAGCCACGGCUAACUACGUG